AAAAUCAAAGUUGCAAGAAAAUUCUCCUACUCUGAGCUGGUAGCGGCGACGGACAACUUCUCACGGGAUAGGAAGAUCGGCAAGGGUUCCUUCGGUGACGUGUACAGAGGGCUGCUACCGAUGCAGAACCAGCGGGAGGUGGCUGUGAAGGAGAUGCGACAACCAACGUUGAAGCGUAACCGGAAGAACUAUGUGCACGAGAUCAAGACCCUGUGUCAGUUGAGCCAUAAGAACCUCCUACGGCUUAUCGGUUGGUGCGACGAUGGUGGCCGGUUGGUGCUUGUGUACGAGCUUGAACCCAACGGUAGUGUCAGCGACCAUCUCCAUGGUGGUGGCGCUGGCGGGAGGAUGUUGACAUGGCCGCAGAGGUACAAUAUCCUUCUCGGUAUCGCAGCCGCCAUCGACUACCUCCACAAUGGCGCCUACGACUCAGCGAAGAGGUACGUGUUGCACCGGGACAUAAAGCCCAGCAACGUGAUGCUGGGAGAGGGCUUUGAGGCCAAGCUCGGUGACUUUGGACUCGUACAGCAAGUCAGUCGCCAUGGCGGCGGGGGUACUCCUCGGACAACCGUGAUCGGGAGCAUGGACUACAUGGACCCCAGGUACAUCGGGCUUGGUACACUUAGCCCCGCCUCUGAUAUAUACAGCUUCGGGUUGGUGCUGCUAGAGGUGGCCACUGGCGUGAGACCGUCCAUCCCGGGAACGGCAGCGCACCGGAACACCCUCAUCACCACUGUGAGGGAGUCUCAUAGCAGAAAAGCCAUCCUCGAGAUGGUAGAUGAGAAGCUGAGAGGGGAGUUGAAUCAGUGGUGGUGGCAGAUGGAGCGUGUCAUGGUCACCGGGUUGGCGUGUGUCGAGCCGGCGCGUGACGAUCGGCCAUCUAUCAAAGAUGUUAUCGACCUGCUCUCCAAGCACGAGCAAUCUCUGGCAUCCAGCCGUUACCUAAGAGAUUCCUCAAUGAGGCCCAAGGAUCGGUUUCCUUUCAUACUAACUAGGAAUGUGGCUCUCGCAAAUGCAAGGGCAUCAUCCUUAUCGUAUUGA
rnacentral:rRNA from 1 species